UCAAAAACGACUCUCGGCAACGGANANCUCGGCUCUCGCAUCGAUGAAGAACGUAGCGAAAUGCGAUACUUGGUGUGAAUUGCAGAAUCCCGUGAACCAUCGAGUCUUUGAACGCAAGUUGCGCCCGAAGCCAUUAGGCCGAGGGCACGCCUGCCUGGGCGUCAC
rnacentral:rRNA from 1 species